GACGAACGCUGGCGGCGUGCCUAAUACAUGCAAGUAGAACGCAGUUGCGAACGGGUGAGUAACGCGUAGGUAACUGCCUGGUAGCGGGGGAUAACUAUUGGAAACGAUAGCUAAUACCGCAUACUACUAGAUGGACCUGCGUUGUAUUAGCUUGUUGGUGGGGUAACGGCUCACCAAGGCAACGAUACAUAACCGACCUGAGAGGGGGGACGGCCAACCUUGGACUGGGACCAGGCCCAGACUCCUACGGGGGGCAGCAGUAGGGAAUCUUCGGCAAUGGACGGAAGGCUGACCGAGCAACGCCGCGUGGGUGAAGAAGGUUUUCGGAUCGUAAAGCUCUGUUUUAAGGGAAGCGGUAUCUUACCAGAAAGGGACGGCUAACUACGUGCCAGCAGCCGCGGUAAUAC
rnacentral:rRNA from 1 species